AGAUCCAACACCUGAAAGGACAAUUGGAUCUCAAAAUAUGAAACCAUGAAAAAGACCCUUCAUUCAAUAAAGCAACAGAAUUGGCGCUAAGGAGAGAUGAAGGAAACACAGCCAGCAUGGCCAGUAUUCAUGAAACAAUGUUCAAAAGUUGCCUGGGGUCACCUCUUGGGUUAAGGGGAGCAGCUGGUCCCAUCUGCUGGGAUGGAAGCAAAGAAGAAACCACUGGAGGCUGGUUAGUCCUGGGACACAGACAAUACCCUGGAGGGGCCUGGGGUAGGGUGUGUAACCAUAGUGACCAGUGGGUCCUUUCCCCACUGUGGUCCUGGCUCGCAUGCACAGGGUGAAACUGAUCGCCAUGUUUGGGGUCAGGAAGGAAUUUUCCUCCAGGGCAGAUUGGCCAGAGACCCUGGAGGUUUUUCGCCUUCCUCUGGGGCAUUGAGCAGGGACCAGCCCUUUGGGCCAUUUAGAAACAGACAAUAAAAUCCAUCAGAGAACUUG